rnacentral:rRNA from 1 species
UGCCAGCCGCCGCGGUAACACGGGGGGCGCAAGCGUUAUUCGGAAUUAUUGGGCGUAAAGGGCGCGCAGGCGGUCUUGUCCGUCAGGUGUGAAAGCUCGGGGCUCAACCCCGGAAGUGCACUUGAAACAGCAAGACUUGAAUACGAGAGAGGAAAGUGGAAUUCCUAGUGUAGAGGUGAAAUUCGUAGAUAUUGGGAAGAACACCAGUGGCGAAGGCGGCUAACUGGCUCGGUACUGACGCUGAGAUGCGAAAGCGUGGGGAGCAAACAGGAUUAGAUA